rnacentral:tRNA from 1 species
UCUCUGGUGGUCCAGUGGUUAAGACUCUGCACUUCCAAUGCAGGGGGCAUGGGUUCAAUCCCUGUCGGAGAA